GAGGAGGAGAUGUAGAGGAGGAGAUGUAGAGGAGGAGAUGUAGAGGAGGAGAUGUAGAGGAGGAGAUAUAGAGGAGGAGAUAUUGAGGAGGAGAUAUUGAGGAGGAGAUAUAGAGGAAGAGAUAUAAAGGUAGAGGGGGAGAAAUAGAGGAGGAGAUAUAGAGGAGGAGAUGUAGAGGAGGAGAUAUAGAGGAGGAGAUAUAGAGGAGGAGAUGUAGAGGAGGAGAUAUAGAGGAGGAGAUGUAGAGGAGGAGAUGUAGAGGUAGAGGAGGAGAUGUAGAGGAGGAGAUAUAGGGGUGGAGGAGGAGAUGUAGAGCUAGAGGAGGAGAUAUAGAGGAGGAGAUAUAGAGGUGGAGAUAUAGAGGUAGAGGAGGAAAUGUAGAGGUAGAGGAGGAGAUAUAGUGGUGGAGAUAUAGAGGAGGAGAUAUAGAGGUGGAUUAGGAGAUGUAGAGGAGGAGAUAUAGAGGAGGAGAUAUAGAGGAGGAGAUGUAGAGGAGGAGAUGUAGAGGUAGAGGAGGAGAUGUAGAGGUAGAGGAGGAGAUAUAGAGGUGGAGGAGGAGAUAUAGAGGAGGAGAUGUAGAGGCAGAG
rnacentral:lncRNA from 1 species